CCUACGGGAGGCAGCAGUGGGGAAUAUUGGACAAUGGGGGGAACCCUGAUCCAGCCAUGCCGCGUGUGUGAAGAAGGCCCUCGGGUUGUAAAGCACUUUCAGUGAGGAAGAACGCCUGGUGGUUAAUACCCAUCAGGAAAGACAUCACUCACAGAAGAAGCACCGGCUAACUCCGUGCCAGCAGCCGCGGUAAUACGGAGGGUGCGAGCGUUAAUCGGAAUUACUGGGCGUAAAGCGCGCGUAGGUGGCUUGAUAAGCCGGUUGUGAAAGCCCCGGGCUCAACCUGGGAACGGCAUCCGGAACUGUCAAGCUAGAGUGCAGGAGAGGAAGGUAGAAUUCCCGGUGUAGCGGUGAAAUGCGUAGAGAUCGGGAGGAAUACCAGUGGUGAAGGCGGCCUUCUGGACUGACACUGACACUGAGGUGCGAAAGCGUGGGUAGCAAACAGGAUUAGAUACCCUUGUAGUC
rnacentral:rRNA from 1 species